rnacentral:tRNA from 2 species
CGGAGUGUAGCGCAGCCUGGUAGCGCACCUGACUGGGGGUCAGGGGGUCGUCAGUUCGAAUCUGGCCACUCCGACCA